AGUCAGACAGGUGUUAUUGACUGGUUUAUUUUAUCCAGACAUCGGGUCCUUCCCAAGGACCUGGGAUGGCUGGAUUUUAUUGUCAAUGUUGUUGCUGUUAUAGAUAUCGUCACCAGGGGCGUAACUACCAUUAGGCAGGGGGAGGCAGUCGUCUCGGGGCCCCACUGCCUUGAGGGGCCCCCCAGAGACACCUCACAUGACUCCCCAUUGCCCCCUGCCCAGCCCCAAGACCCUUCAGACACUUGCGCUAUUUGCCCUCUCUCCUGCUUGUCCUCCCGGCCGGCAAUCGAGGCACCAGACCAGCUGCCUGCCAAGAGCUGCUUUCCUCCCGGGCGCCUCUCAGCUGACCGGCGGGUGGCGGGGCUUGCAGGGAGGCCUCCGUGUAGGCCUCAGUCAAGCCUGAAUUCGAGUAGUGCCCAAGCCAGCCAGGAAGGAGGAGGCAGUCAGAGUGGCCACUACAGCUCUCUGCAGCAGACCCUCUUCUGCCCAGGCCAGACAGCUUAGCCUUUGCCAGAUGGAAAAGGCCUACAAAACAGUCUCAUGAACAUGAAUGCCUGUGGAACAUAGUCGUUGAAUAUUCAAGGACAAAAAUCACACUACCAGCUCUGCAUAUGACCUCAGCUCUACCAUAGUCAAAACGUAGCAGACGAUAUGAUAAAUAUAUUGGUGAAUAAGCCUUUGUUGACAGAGUAAAAAGGGGUGUGGGUGAAGUAAAAACACACACAUCCUUCCUUCAAAGACAGCGCACUGCCUUCAUAGAGGAUUUCCUUGAAUACGCAUGCUUUUGUAGUGUUCCAACUCCCACAGGAUGCAUUUUUCUCUGAAGUUUAGAGUGGCAUAAAUGGUUGCUUUUA